AUUGAACGCUGGCGGCAGGCCUAACACAUGCAAGUCGAGCGGAUGAAGGGAGCUUGCUCCUGGAUUCAGCGGCGGACGGGUGAGUAAUGCCUAGGAAUCUGCCUGGUAGUGGGGGAUAACGUCCGGAAACGGGCGCUAAUACCGCAUACGUCCUGAGGGAGAAAGUGGGGGAUCUUCGGACCUCACGCUAUCAGAUGAGCCUAGGUCGGAUUAGCUAGUUGGUGGGGUAAAGGCCUACCAAGGCGACGAUCCGUAACUGGUCUGAGAGGAUGAUCAGUCACACUGGAACUGAGACACGGUCCAGACUCCUACGGGAGGCAGCAGUGGGGAAUAUUGGACAAUGGGCGAAAGCCUGAUCCAGCCAUGCCGCGUGUGUGAAGAAGGUCUUCGGAUUGUAGAGCACUUUAAGUUGGGAGGAAGGGCAGUAAGUCAAUACCUUGCUGUUUUGACGUUACCAACAGAAUAAGCACCGGCUAACUUCGUG
rnacentral:rRNA from 1 species